UGGGCUCUAGUUCAGUUGGUAGAAUGCUUGUCUUGCAUGCACAGACCCUGGGUUCAGUCCCCAGCACCACAA
rnacentral:tRNA from 1 species